rnacentral:rRNA from 1 species
GGAGGAGGCUCUUGGGUCGUAAACCUCUUUUCUCAGGGAAGAAAAAAAUGACGGUACCUGAGGAAUAAGCAUCGGCUAACUCCGUGCCAGCAGCCGCGGUAAUACGGAGGAUGCAAGCGUUAUCCGGAAUGAUUGGGCGUAAAGGGUCCGCAGGUGGUACUGUAAGUCUGCUGUUAAAGAGCAAGGCUCAACCUUGUAAAAGCAGUGGAAACUACAGAACUAGAGUGCGUUCGGGGCAGAAGGAAUUCCUGGUGUAGCGGUGAAAUGCGUAGAUAUCAGGAAGAACACCGGUGGCGAAAGCGUUCUGCUAGGCCGCAACUGACACUGAGGGACGAAAGCUAGGGGAGCGAAUGGGAUUAGAUACCCCAGUAGUCCUAGCCGUAAACGAUGGAUACUAGGCGUGGCUUGUAUCGACCCGAGCCGUGCCGGAGCUAACGCGUUAAGUAUCCCGCCUGGGGAGUACGCACGCAAGUGUGAAACUCAAAGGAAUUGACGGGGGCCCGCACAAGCGGUGGAGUAUGUGGUUUAAUUCGAUGCAACGCGAAGAACCUUACCAAGACUUGACAUCCUGCGAAUCUCGGUGAAAGCUGAGAGUGCCUUCGGGAGCGCAGAGACAGGUGGUGCAUGGCUGUCGUCAGCUCGUGUCGUGAGAUGUUGGGUUAAGUCCCGCAACGAGCGCAACCCUCGUUUUUAGUUGCCAGCAUUAAGUUGGGCACUCUAGAGAGACUGCCGGUGACAAACCGGAGGAAGGUGAGGAUGACGUCAAGUCAGCAUGCCCCUUACGUCUUGGGCUACACACGUACUACAAUGCUACGGACAAAGGGCAGCAAGCUAGCGAUAGCAAGCAAAUCUCAUAAACCGUAGCUCAGUUCAGAUCGAAGGCUGCAACUCGCCUUCGUGAAGGAGGAAUCSCUAGUMAKUGCAGGUCAGCUUAMUGCAUYGAMUUYGUUCCCGUSCCUGGUACACAGAACCUGUCUCACCMURGAAKUUGGUCCCKCCSGARGUCAUUACCCCARCYGAAWGGAGGGCGAYCCYUAUGGURGGAMKGGYGAYKGGGGGGAUGUMGUAACAAGGUAGCCGUACCGGAAGG